rnacentral:lncRNA from 1 species
ACCGAAGUGGCAUUCAGGCCAAUUUUUCGAUGUUCAGAUCGAAGAAGUUUCCGACGUUCAGGUCGAUGCAACUUGUGGCAUUCAGGCCAGUUUUCCGGUAAUCCAGACCGAAGUGGCAUUCAGGCCAGUUUUCCGGUAUCCAGACCGAAGUGGCAUUCAGGCCAGUUUUCCGGUAUCCAGACCGAAGUGGCGUUCAGGCCAGUUUUCCGGUAUCCAGACCGAAGUGGCGUUCAGGCCAGUUUUCCGGUAUCCAGACCGAAGUGGCGCGUUCAGGCCAGUCUUCCGGUAUCCAGACCGAAGUGGCAUUCAGGCCAGUUUUCCGGUAUCCAGACCGAAGUGGCGUUCAGGCCAGUUUUCCG